rnacentral:lncRNA from 1 species
UCGACGACCGACACGGUGGGGGUGGGCACGCGCAGGGCAAUGCCGUUCAGCUUGCCCUUCAGGCUGGGCAGCACCAGCGACACGGCCUUGGCGGCACCGGUGGUGGUGGGCACAAUGUUCAGGGCGGCGGCGCGGGCGCGGCGCAGGUCGCGGUGGGACGCGUCCAGCAGGCGCUGGUCACCGGUGUAGGAGUGGGUGGUGGUCAUCGUGCCCUUGACAAUGCCGAACUUCUGCUCCAGCACCUGGGGUAGGCAAGGGAGAGGGGAAAGGGGAAGGGCCGGGUCAGAGACAGGUGAGCUGACAAGACAAGAUAUCCCAGGGCACUCGGACCCGCAACACCGUGGACGCUCUUGCCGCCCCCCGCAUUUAUUCCUGACGAAAAAGCCACAGCAAGCAACAUGCGUAAGCUUCCUUACCUUGACGAAGGGGGCCAGGCAGUUGGUGGUGCACGAGGCGUUGGAGAUGAUGGGGUACUCGUGCUUGUAGUCGCCCUCGUUCACACCGACCACGAAGGUGGGGAUGUCCUUGUCCUUGGCGGGGGCGGUGAUCAGCACCUUGGAGGCACCGGCCUAUAGAUGUGUGGGGCAAGGCAGGGGGGUCAUGUCAGCAGGGGGAACGAGCUCAAUGGGCGAGCGAGCGCCGUUACUCG